rnacentral:rRNA from 1 species
AGUGGAGGCGAACCGGCGAACUAGAAACAUCUAAGUAGCCGGAGGAACAGAAAUCAACCGAGAUUCCUAAGUAGUGGCGAGCGAACAGGGACCAGCCUGCAAGAGAUAACUAGUGUGUUAGUGGAACGCUCUGGAAAGUGCGGCCAUAGUGGGUGAUAGCCCCGUACGCGAAAAACACAUUAGCGAGACUGAGCUUGCGACAAGUAGGGCGGGACACGUGAAAUCCUGUCUGAAGAUGGGGGGACCAUCCUCCAAGGCUAAAUACUCGUAAUCGACCGAUAGUGAACCAGUACCGUGAGGGAAAGGCGAAAAGAACCCCGGGAGGGGAGUGAAAUAGAUCCUGAAACCGCAUGCAUACAAACAGUGGGAGCCUCGCAAGGGGUGACUGCGUACCUUUUGUAUAAUGGGUCAGCGACUUACGUUCUGUAGCGAGCUUAACCGAAUAGGGGAGGCGUAGCGAAAGCGAGUCUGAUAA